AUUGAACGCUGGCGGCAGGCUUAACACAUGCAAGUCGAGCGGGGUGAUGGUGCUUGCACUAUCACUUAGCGGCGGACGGGUGAGUAAUGCUUAGGAAUCUGCCUAUUAGUGGGGGACAGCAUCUCGAAAGGGAUGCUAAUACCGCAUACGUCCUACGGGAGAAAGCAGGGGAUCACUUGUGACCUUGCGCUAAUAGAUGAGCCUAAGUCGGAUUAGCUAGUUGGUGGGGUAAAGGCCUACCAAGGCGACGAUCUGUAGCGGGUCUGAGAGGAUGAUCCGCCACACUGGGACUGAGACACGGCCCAGACCCCUACGGGAGGCAGCAGUGGGGAAUAUUGGACAAUGGGGGGAACCCUGAUCCAGCCAUGCCGCGUGUGUGAAGAAGGCCUUAUGGUUGUAAAGCACUUUAAGCGAGGAGGAGGCUCUUUUGGUUAAUACCCAAGAUGAGUGGACGUUACUCGCAGAAUAAGCACCGGCUAACUCUGUGCCAGCAGCCGCGGUAACAC
rnacentral:rRNA from 1 species